GACGAACGCUGGCGGCGCGCCUAACACAUGCAAGUCGAACGAGCGAGAGAGAGCUUGCUUUCUCAAGCGAGUGGCGAACGGGUGAGUAACGCGUGAGGAACCUGCCUCAAAGAGGGGGACAACAGUUGGAAACGACUGCUAAUACCGCAUAAGCCCACAGGUCGGCAUCGACCAGAGGGAAAAGGAGCAAUCCGCUUUGAGAUGGCCUCGCGUCCGAUUAGCUAGUUGGUGAGGUAACGGCCCACCAAGGGAACCAUCGGUAGCCGGACUCAGAGGUUCAACGGAGACACUGAGAGUGAGACACGGUCCAGAAUACUACGGGAGGGAGGCGUGGCGAAUACUGCCAAAUCGGGGAAGUGAAGAAGGAGCGAGGGUUGGAGGAGGAAGAAGGUCGGAAAGAAGAGCAGUAGUGUAAUAGCGCGAGAUACUGACGGUACUCAAAGAAGAAGUGACGGCUAACUACGUG
rnacentral:rRNA from 1 species